GGACGCAUUCCCUCGCUUCAGUGUAUGCGAAACGCCCCGUCUGGUGAUCAGCUCUUCCCUCAGGCCUUGCGAGUGCACUUGAGAAACUCCGAUCUCUUAUAAACGCGCCGUCACCCUCCCGUCCACCGCCCCAGGGAAGAACCUCUCAUGGCCCCGCCCCCCGGCUCAGGCGACUCCUUGGGCCCUGUCCUCUGUGGAACGCACGCCAGCAUCCGAACGUGGGCUGGACCAUUCUCCCCGCCUUCGUCCCGGGGCAAUGGCCCUCCCGGCCCCGCCCCCUGGGGAUGGCUCCUCCCUGGGCCCGUCCCUAUUGGCUCCUCAGGCCGGUCCCCUCGCUUGUCGCCUUCUCUUGGGCCCCAGCCCUCGCUGGUUCCCCCCAACUCAGGUGGUGUUUGAGAAGGGCGGAGUGUACCUGCACACCAGCGCUAAGAAGUAUCAGGACCGAGACUCCCUCAUCGCUGGUGUUAUCCGUGUCGUGGAAAAGGACAAUGACGUCCUCCUGCACUGGGCUCCUGUAGAGGAGGCUGGAGAUUCCACCCAAAUCCUCUUCUCCAAGAAGGACUCCAGUGGGGGUGACUCCUGUGCUCCUGAGGAGGAGCCAACCUUUGAUCCCGGCUAUGAACCUGACUGGGCCGUCAUCAGCACUGUGCGGCCACAGCCCCGCCACUCAGAGCCCACGAGAGGUGCAGAGCCCAGCUGCCCCCAGGGCUCCUGGGCCUUCUCAGUGAGUCUCGGGGAGCUCAAGUCCAUCCGCCGCUCCAAGCCGGGCCUCAGCUGGGCCUACCUGGUUCUGGUGACCCAGGCUGGAGGCUCCCUGCCCGCACUGCACUUCCACCGCGGGGGUACCCGUGCCCUGCUCCGCGUCCUCAGCCGCUACCUGCUGUUGGCCAGCUCCCCACAGGACUCCCGCCUCUACCUUGUCUUCCCCCACGACUCCUCUGCCCUCUCCAAUUCCUUCCACCACCUGCAGCUCUUUGACCAGGACAGCUCCAAUGUGGUAUCUCGCUUCCUCCAGGAUCCCUACUCCACCACCUUCAGCAGCUUCUCCCGAGUGACCAACUUCUUCCGGGGUGCCCUGCAGCCACAGCCCGAGGGAGCCGCCUCCGACCUUCCCCCACCACCUGACGAUGAGCCCGAGCCUGGGUUCGAGGUCAUUUCCUGUGUGGAGCUGGGGCCUCGGCCAACCGUGGAGCGGGGCCCUCCAGUUACAGAGGAGGAGUGGGCGCGCCACGUGGGCCCUGAGGGCCGCCUGCAGCAGGUACCCGAGCUGAAGAAUCGGAUCUUCUCGGGGGGUCUGAGCCCCAGCCUGCGGCGUGAGGCGUGGAAGUUCCUCUUGGGGUACCUCAGCUGGGAAGGCACAGCUGAGGAGCACAAGGCCCACGUUCGCAAGAAAACGGAUGAGUAUUUCCGCAUGAAGCUGCAGUGGAAAUCUGUGAGCCCUGAGCAGGAGCAGAGAAACUCACUCCUGCACGGAUACCGCAGCCUCAUCGAGAGAGACGUGAGCCGCACUGACAGGACCAACAAGUUCUAUGAGGGUCCCGAGAACCCGGGGCUGGGCCUGCUGAACGACAUCCUUCUCACCUACUGCAUGUACCACUUCGACCUCGGUGGGUGCCAGGCCUGGGGCCAGACGGGGCCUGGGCUGUCCAGGGGAGCGCUGUGGGCUUGGCUGCAGCCUGACCCCGUGUCCUCCCCAGGGUACGUCCAGGGCAUGAGUGACCUUCUCUCCCCGAUCCUCUACGUCAUUCAGAAUGAGGUGGAUGCUUUCUGGUGUUUCUGUGGUUUCAUGGAACUCGUGCAAGGAAACUUUGAAGAGAGCCAGGAGACUAUGAAGCGGCAACUCGGGCGACUGCUGCUGCUCCUGAGGGUGCUGGACCCCCAGCUCUGUGACUUCCUGGAUUCCCAGGACUCUGGCUCUCUCUGCUUCUGUUUCCGGUGGCUGCUCAUCUGGUUCAAGAGGGAAUUCCCCUUCCCGGAUGUCCUUCGGCUGUGGGAGGUGCUGUGGACAGGGCUCCCUGGCCCCAAUCUGCACCUGUUGGUGGCCUGCGCCAUCCUGGACAUGGAGCGGGACACCCUCAUGCUGUCCGGCUUCGGCUCCAAUGAGAUCCUCAAGCACGAGCCACAGAGUGGGCGCUCGGGCGGAGGUGGCUGAGUGCUGACUGGCGCCUGACCCACCCCCGCCCGCAGCACAUCAACGAGCUGACUAUGAAGCUGAGCGUGGAGGACGUGCUGACGCGCGCCGAGGCCCUGCACCGCCAGCUAACCGCCUGCCCCGAGCUGCCCCACAACGUGCAGGAGAUCCUGGGGAUGGCGCCGCCCACAGAGCCCCACAGCCCCUCGCCCCCCGCCCCCCCGCCGCCCCUGUCGCCCACCCGGGCCCCGCCCACCCCGCCGCUCCCCACGGACACAGCGCCGCAGCCCGACAGCAGCCUGGAGAUCCUGCCCGAGGAGGAGGACGACGACGGCGCAGACUCCUAACCCCGCCCGGCAGCCUUGUUCUGCACAGGCACUUUAGACCGAGCCAGGGACACCCGCGAGGGGCCGCGUGCACUCCGCCGCCCUACUGAUAAGCUGGCUUCAUUAAACUGACACUUCUCA